rnacentral:tRNA from 1 species
AAGUCCCGGAGAUCUUAACGUCUCUUUUCCAGGUUUGCAGCCUGGUGUAUUUUACCUCGGGACC